GUUGGCCCAAGACCACAAUUAAUGACCCCACUUUUCGUUGUUCACGAAUAUAGUUCCCUUUAAUUAAAGUGUAUUUUUUCUUAAUUUUUUUUCUUUGCCUUUCUCAUUGAUUUCUUAGUUUUUAUGGGGUGGAAGUGAAAGAAGAGAGGUAAAAUAAAUUUUUGGAUGUUGUAUUUAAACUGAUUUUGAUAUGGAAAGAGUGAUUAGGCCAAGUGCAAAAAGGUAAUAUUUACAGUUUUCGGAACAUCUCUUGACUUGUCGAUAGGGGUAUGGCUGUGUAGUGGCUAAAUUUGUAAGAGUCAUUGGUUCAAUCUUUCUGAAUUUUGGAUAUAUUUUUGGACUAGUACUAUACAUUACACACACAAAAGAUUUGACAAAAAUGCAAGGGCAGUGAUCUGGUAUGUGGACAAGUACGAUGAACGACUCCACCAGUUAAGUGCAGCAUCACCUUUGCAGACAAUGGAAUAUUCCGGACACAGGGUGCAGUCACUAUCAUAGCAGCGAAGAGUUGCCUCGAGCACUUUUGGUCAGCUUGCGAGCGAAGAGUACAGAUGUUACCAGUCGUCUCUAUUUUGCAGUCAGAAGAUUGAAAAGUUUGCCGCACAUGGGAAGUACGUGCACUACCUGAUUGAGGGAUCGGUAUUGAUGUCUGGCUUCGGCUUCUACCACUGGGUUUUCCAGCUUGGAACCAUCCAGGAUUUCUUGGAGAGUUGUCUUUCUUUGACCUGUUCUUGGUAUAGCCUUUAGUGAACAUUUUGAAAAUUUAACUGGAUCCUUAAUAUCCCAACUUGGACUGAUAGCAUAAACUUUGGACAUCCUUAUAUUUAUAAUCAAGCAUUGUAUGGUAUCUGCUUUGAUGUACAUUUUUUCCUUUGAUGCAGUCUGUGGUGUAGAUUUCAAGAGACCACCUUCAGAGGCAACUCUGAAUUAACAGAGUUUUCUUAGCAGUAUCCAACUAAGCCAAUUAAUCUAUUAUUAGGGGUCCAGAUUAAGAUUGUUUCAUCCAAAUCUAUUGAAAAAUGUUACUUUAUCAUUUAUUGAGAGAUUAAUUUAACAAAGAAGCACAUUUUUUUUUUUUUAUUAAUUUUUUUAUAAUUUUUUUUAUCAAAAUGCAAUAUAUUUUUUAAUAACUAUUUUUCUUACAGAAAUCUGUUAUAAAAUUAAAAUCUAUUUAUCUAUAAAAAUAAACAUAACAGAAAACUUCACUAAAAAGUUUAUUUCAGAGUAAUAUUUCAAGGAAUAAAGAAAUUACACUAGUUUGAAAUUUUCAUUACAUGUAAUCUGACCUGAUGUUACACAUGAAUAUUGGUACCUCAGGUAAACAGGCCAAGUACCUGUGAAAUUUGUCUGAUUAGUGUUAAUGUUAUAUUUUAUUUAUUACAGAUAAGAUAAGCAAUUUUUUAAGAUAAGUUUUGAAAGUUAAUUUUCUUUUUAAAUAUUUUUAAUGGAAUUUUAUUUAUGUUCAGUGUUGGUAUAUUCACUAAAUUUACAAGAAUUUUAGAAAAAAAAUAAUUUCAAUUUAAAAAACACAAUUUUUGAUAAAUUUUCUUUCAGAUUCUAGAAAUUUAACCAUUUAGCUACUAUAGACAUUUUACUUUUUGAAGAUAUCAUGUUUAACAAGAAAGUUAUUAAACUUUUACUUUUCCUAGUAG